rnacentral:rRNA from 1 species
UACGUAGGGUGCAGGCGUUUAAUCGGAAUUACUGGGCGUAAAGCGUGCGUAGGCGGCCACUCAAGUCGAAUGUGAAACCUCGAGGCUUAACCUCGAGCCUGCAUUCGAUACUGGGCGGCUAGAGUCUGGUAGGGGGAUCUGGAAUUCCUGGUGUAGCGGUGGAAUGCGCAGAUAUCAGGAAGAACACCUAUGGCGAAGGCAGCACUCUGGGACGGUACUGACGCUGAGGAGCGAAAGCGUGGGGAGCGAACAGG